CAUCACUACGCUAGAUGCAUAUCAAUAAGCGGAGGAAAAGAAACUAACAAGGAUUCCCCUAGUAACGGCGAGUGAAGCGGGAAGAGCUCAAAUUUGAAAUCUUAAAGGUUUUACCUUGACGAAUUGUAGUUUAAAGAAGUGUUUUCUGUUGGAAGUUUUGGUAAAAGUUCUUUGGAAUAGGACAUCAUAGAGGGUGAGAAUCCCGUAUUUGGUCAUUCCUUUCUAGCUUUGUGAUACACUUUCAACGAGUCGGAUUGUUUGGGAGUGCAGUCCAAAAUGGGUGGUAAAUUUCAUCUAAAGCUAAAUAUUGGCGAGAGACCGAUAGCGAACAAGUACCGUGAGGGAAAGAUGAAAAGAAGCUUUGAAAAGAGAGUUAAACAGUACGUGAAAUUGUCAAAAGGGAAGCGUUUGACACCAGUGUUGUUUUUCCGAAAAUCAAUUACGAAUGUUUUAUUUUUGAGAAGUUAUGACUUCAUCGGCUUGCUUCUCUCUUUAUGAAACUUUCUUAAUGCACUUUUCGGUUAACAAGUCAACAUCAAUUUCUUUUGUUGUAAAAGGGUAUGAGGAAGGUGGCUUUCUUUUCGGAGAAAGUGUUUAUAGCCUUUUAACUCUGCAAUCGGAGAGAUUGAGGUCUGCAGCGUAGAUCCUUCGGGGCUAGAUACAGUUUGUGCUAAGUUAUAGCUUUUCAUAGACAACUUGUUGACUAUGUUUAGUCUUGUAGCUUACUCGCUGAUGCUAUUUUACCUACGCUUAGGAUGUUGACACACGCGCGUGCUCG
rnacentral:rRNA from 1 species